GCUGGCACAUGAUGACUUAAGUUUUUGCCGUUUACCCAGCUGAGGGUUUCUUUGAAGAAAUAAUCUUGACUGAGAUGCCAGC
ensembl:snoRNA